AGAAAACGGCGAUGAUGGAGGUACACGAGACAAGGGGAGAGAGCCACAGGAGACGUCGACGAAGAAGGGGCUCGGUCGUAAGUGUACCAUCCAGUAAGGAAACGUUAAGAUUGAUUCGCACUAUCUGAAGUACUGUGCUUUAUUUGCGACGAGGCACCACCCUAUACCAGGUUCUUAAAUUCUUCCAGAUCUUUAUUCUUAUCGAUAGAUUCUAAUUUUUUUCUGACUAUACUGUCUCUUUACGAACAAUAUAGUACCAAAACGUCAAUGCCAA
rnacentral:lncRNA from 1 species